rnacentral:rRNA from 1 species
GACGAACGCUGGCGGCGUGCUUAACACAUGCAAGUCGAACGAUGAACCAGGGCUUGCCCUGGGGAUUAGUGGCGAACGGGUGAGUAACACGUGGGCAACCUGCCCCUGACACUGGGAUAACUCCGGGAAACCGGGGCUAAUACCGGAUAUGAACCUUGACGGCAUCGUCAAGGUUGUAAAGUUUUUCGGUCAGGGAUGGGCCCGCGGCCUAUCAGCUUGUUGGUGGGGUAAUGGCCUACCAAGGCGACGACGGGUAGCCGGCCUGAGAGGGCGACCGGCCACACUGGGACUGAGACACGGCCCAGACUCCUACGGGAGGCAGCAGUGGGGAAUAUUGCGCAAUGGGCGAAAGCCUGACGCAGCGACGCCGCGUGAGGGACGACGGCCUUCGGGUUGUAAACCUCUUUCAGCAGGGACGAUAAUGACUGUACCGGAAGAAUAAGCCCCGGCUAACUUCGUGCCAGCAGCCGCCGUAA